GACGAACGCUGGCGGCGUGCCUAAUACAUGCAAGUAGAACGCUGAAGGAGGAGCUUGCUUCUCCGGAUGAGUUGCGAACGGGUGAGUAACGCGUAGGUAACCUGCCUGGUAGCGGGGGAUAACUAUUGGAAACGAUAGCUAAUACCGCAUAACAGUAGAUGUUGCAUGACAUUUGCUUAAAAGGUGCAAUUGCAUCACUACCAGAUGGACCUGCGUUGUAUUAGCUAGUUGGUGAGGUAACGGCUCACCAAGGCGACGAUACAUAGCCGACCUGAGAGGGUGAUCGGCCACACUGGGACUGAGACACGGCCCAGACUCCUACGGGAGGCAGCAGUAGGGAAUCUUCGGCAAUGGACGGAAGUCUGACCGAGCAACGCCGCGUGAGUGAAGAAGGUUUUCGGAUCGUAAAGCUCCGUUGUAAGAGAAGAACGAGUGUGAGAGUGGAAAGUUCACACUGUGACGGUAUCUUACCAGAAAGGGACGGCUAACUACGUG
rnacentral:rRNA from 1 species